UACGUAGGGUGCAAGCGUUGUCCGGAAUUAUUGGGCGUAAAGAGCUUGUAGGCGGUCUGUCGCGUCGGCUGUGAAAUCCCGAGGCUCAACCUCGGGUCUGCAGUCGAUACGGGCAAACUAGAGUAUUGCAGGGGAGACUGGAAUUCCUGGUGUAGCGGUGAAAUGCGCAGAUAUCAGGAGGAACACCGGUGGCGAAGGCGGGUCUCUGGGCAAUAACUGACGCUGAGGAGCGAAAGCGUGGGGAGCGAACAGG
rnacentral:rRNA from 1 species